AUUGAACGCUGGCGGAAUGCUUUACACAUGCAAGUCGAACGGCAGCACGGGGGCAGCCCUGGUGGCGAGUGGCGAACGGGUGAGUAAUACAUCGGAACGUGCCCGGUCGUGGGGGAUAACGUAGCGAAAGUUACGCUAAUACCGCAUACGAUCUGAGGAUGAAAGCGGGGGACCUUCGGGCCUCGCGCGAUCGGAGCGGCCGAUGUCAGAUUAGGUAGUUGGUGGGGUAAAGGCCUACCAAGCCGACGAUCUGUAGCUGGUCUGAGAGGACGACCAGCCACACUGGGACUGAGACACGGCCCAGACUCCUACAGGAGGCAGCAGUGGGGAAUUUUGGACAAUGGGCGCAAGCCUGAUCCAGCCAUUCCGCGUGCAGGACGAAGGCCUUCGGGUUGUAAACUGCUUUUGUACGGAACGAAAAGGCUCUGGCUAAUACCUGGGGCUCAUGACGGUACCGUAAGAAUAAGCACCGGCUAACUACGUG
rnacentral:rRNA from 1 species